GAGUGAACAGGCCAGUGGAGAAACUUUCAUCUCCGUGCAAGAAGGGAGGAGAGACUUAGAUGUUCAUCACUUCCUCAGACGAAGAUUUAAGCUCAAGUAUUAACUAAUAAACUCCCUGUCCCAUAGGAGUUGAGCCAGGGGGUGUGGGGGAGGGAAUGGAUUAAACAUGUGUGAGUUUCCUACUUGGAGCAGGAGUUUUGGUGGCCUGGAAAAUGUAAUGUGUUUUCCCUUGCAGAUGCUCUGGAGUGUGACUCACAAGCCUUUGCAGCUCGGACAGCUUUGCAGAACGAGCUACCAGCAACCUCUUUGUCCUUCAGGGUACAUCACUGAAUAAGCUCGAGUACUGGAAGUUCACAGUCAGAUCUGCCCAGAGCCUUCUCAUCUCCAUGCUGAACACCUCCAGCUUUUUGUCUGAUGUGAUGUCCAGAUACUGGGGAGGACAACAACCUGGAGAGGCAGUUUGUUGCAGUUCCUGGCUCCUGGCUGGACACCAGCACAUCAGAGCAGCUUUUGCAGCAGCCAAGGCAGAGAGGGAAGCACAGUUUUGGUUUGCACACAAAGACUUAUCUUGCUGUGUGUCUCUAUCCUUGUCCCUUUUACCUUUCUGUGACAUUUCUGAAUGGUUUGAGGUUGCUUUUUUAUUUUUUUUAUUGUUUAUUUUAAUUAAACAUGACUAAACAAUGAUUCUCUGAGUGGGAAUCAUUCUUCCUAAUAACCACAGUGUGCAUGCUAACUAUACUAAAAAUAAAUCUUGUCUCUGACUAGUUAAAAAUUGCAGUGAUUUGUUGAUGCUUUUUACCUGUCACUAGUAAGAUAUAAAUAUAAAUAAGUAGAAUUACAUUUAAA